rnacentral:rRNA from 1 species
UACGUAGGGUGCGAGCGUUGUCCGGAAUUACUGGGCGUAAAGAGCUCGUAGGUGGUUUGUCGCGUUGUCCGUGAAAACUCACAACUCAAUUGUGGGCGUGCGGGCGAUACGGGCAGACUGGAGUACUGCAGGGGAGACUGGAAUUCCUGGUGUAGCGGUGGAAUGCGCAGAUAUCAGGAGGAACACCGGUGGCGAAGGCGGGUCUCUGGGCAGUAACUGACGCUGAGGCAUGAAAGCGUGGGUAGCAAACAGG